UUGCACUUGUAUUAGCUGUGUCCUGCUUUCUUUUAUGAUGAUGGUGGGAAGUUAAGCUGGUGCACAGAGGAAAUGCUGCUCUUGUAGUAGUGGCGGCCAGACAACCGUUGAGGGAUAGAUCCACAGAUGAACAUUCUUUCUGCCGUUUGUCUACUAAUUCUAUCUCACAUUC
rnacentral:snoRNA from 1 species